rnacentral:rRNA from 1 species
ACAGUGGACGCGAGCAUCUGUGGCCAAGUUUUUAAGGGCGCACGGUGGAUGCCUUGGCACCAGGAACCGAUGAAGGACGUGGGAGGCCACGAUAGUCCCCGGGGAGCUGUCAACCAAGCUUUGAUCCGGGGGUUUCCGAAUGGGGAAACCCGGCAGUCGUCAUGGGCUGUCACCCGCUGCUGAACACAUAGGCAGUGUGGAGGGAACGAGGGGAAGUGAAACAUCUCAGUACCCUCAGGAAGAGAAAACAACCGUGAUUCCGGGAGUAGUGGCGAGCGAAACUGGAUGAGGCCAAACCGUAUGCGUGUGAUACCCGGCAGGGGUUGCGCAUGCGGGGUUGUGGGA